rnacentral:antisense_RNA from 2 species
CUUCACCGAGCCCAGCCACAACGGCUCGUCGCGCCCCUGUCCGUAGGUCGCGAGCAGCGCCUGGGCCUC